CCACACACACACGGGGGCUCUCGCGAACCGAGGGCUGAGAUGACGGCAGGCGGCCGUCGACCGGAUGAACCUGACCGGGUAAUGCCGGCGUAGGGAGAAGCAAUGGCCGACGC
rnacentral:ncRNA from 1 species